UACGUAGGGUCCGAGCGUUGUCCGGAAUUACUGGGCGUAAAGCGUGCGCAGGCGGUUUUGUAAGUCUGUCGUGAAAUCCCCGGGCUUAACCUGGGAAUUGCGAUGGAGACUGCAAGGCUGGAGUCUGGCAGAGGGGGGUAGAAUUCCACGUGUAGCAGUGAAAUGCGUAGAGAUGUGGAGGAACACCGAUGGCGAAGGCAGCCCCCUGGGUCAAGACUGACGCUCAUGCACGAAAGCGUGGGGAGCAAACAGG
rnacentral:rRNA from 1 species